UUCCAGACUCCUACGGGAGGCAGCAGUGAGGAAUAUUGGUCAAUGGGAGAGAUCCUGAACCAGCCAAGCCGCGUGAGGGAAGACGGCCCUAUGGGUUGUAAACCUCUUUUGUCGGAGAACAAAACCCGGGACGUGUCCCGGACUGCGUGUAUCCGAAGAAAAAGCAUCGGCUAACUCCGUGCCAGCAGCCGCGGUAAUACGGAGGAUCCGAGCGUUAUCCGGAUUUAUUGGGUUUAAAGGGUGCGUAGGCGGACAGUCAAGUCAGCGGUAAAAAUGCGGUGCUCAACGCCGUACAGCCGUUGAAACUGGCAGUCUUGAGUGGGCGAGAAGUAUGCGGAAUGCGUGGUGUAGCGGUGAAAUGCAUAGAUAUCACGCAGAACUCCGAUUGCGAAGGCAGCAUACCGGCGCCCGACUGACGCUGAGGCACGAAAGCGUGGGUAUCGAACAGGAUUAGAUACCCUAGUAC
rnacentral:rRNA from 1 species